ACCCCACCUUUCCAUCCUGAGCUGCAGAACUCAACAUGUAUAAGUCAGUAUUCGCUAAGAUACCAUCCCAGCAUGGAAAACCAAAGUUCUGUGAAAAACAGGUCUCUGUUUGUGUUGGAAAUGCUGUAAUGUAUGGCACACUGAGAUCUACUACCUGCUUAUAAUGACUGGUGUUUCCUGUUCUGCAAGACUGGGAGGGAAAGAGCAUAUCCAAUGAACAGAAGUAGAUCCUUGGAUUUUGGAUCUUGGUGACCUUGACUCCACAAAUCUACUGAACAAUUACAUUACAGAACAGUUGAUUGCUUCUUUGUUUGUGUGGCAAUAGAUUAUGGAAUAAGGUGAAAGGAACCUUCAGAACCUACCCUGAUAUGAUUUUUUUUUUUCUUUUUGUGAAGAACACCACCACAAAAAUAUGGUAUAACUUAAGAAAAUUGUUUUAGUUUUAUUUCUAUUUCAAAUAAAAUAUUAAAACUA